GAUGAACGCUGGCUACAGGCUUAACACAUGCAAGUCGAGGGGAAACGACGGGGAAGCUUGCUUCCCCGGGCGUCGACCGGCGCACGGGUGAGUAACGCGUAUCCAACCUGCCUCUGACUGAGGGAUAACCCGUCGAAAGUCGGCCUAAUACCUCAUGGCAUCGUCUGCGGGCAUCCAACGACGAUUAAAGAUUUCAUCGGUCAGGGAUGGGGAUGCGUCUGAUUAGCUUGUUGGCGGGGUAACGGCCCACCAAGGCUACGAUCAGUAGGGGUUCUGAGAGGAAGGUCCCCCACAUUGGAACUGAGACACGGUCCAAACUCCUACGGGAGGCAGCAGUGAGGAAUAUUGGUCAAUGGGCGAGAGCCUGAACCAGCCAAGUAGCGUGCAGGAUGACGGCCCUAUGGGUUGUAAACUGCCUUUAUGCGGGGAUAAAGUGAGGGACGUGUCCUUCAUUGCAGGUACCGCAUGAAUAAGGACCGGCUAAUUCCGUGCCAGCAGCCGCGGUAAUACGGAAGGUCCGGGCGUUAUCCGGAUUUAUUGGGUUUAAAGGGAGCGUAGGCCGUGGAUUAAGCGUGUUGUGAAAUGCAGGUGCUCAACGUCUGCACUGCAGCGCGAACUGGUUCACUUGAGUGUGCGCAACGCAGGCGGAAUUCGUCGUGUAGCGGUGAAAUGCUUAGAUAUGACGAAGAACUCCGAUUGCGAAGGCAGCUUGCGGGAGCACAACUGACGCUGAAGCUCGAAAGUGCGGGUAUCGAACAGG
rnacentral:rRNA from 1 species